rnacentral:misc_RNA from 1 species
GAUGAAGAACGUAGCGAAAUGCGAUAAGUAGUGUGAAUUGCAGAAUUCAGUGAAUCAUCGAAUCUUUGAACGCACAUUGCGCCCCUUGGUAUUCCAUGGGGCAUGCCUGUUCGAGCGUCAUUUACAUCCUCAAGCACUGCUUGGUGUUGGGCGUCUGUCCCGCUCUGCGUGGACUCGCCUCAAAGGCAUUGGCAGCGGUCUUGCCAGCUUCUCGCGCAGCACAUUGCGCUUCUUGAAGCCCUGGUGGAUCAGCAUCCAUGAAGCUACAUCAUCAUUUUGACCUCGGAUCAGGUAGGGAUACCCGCUGAACUUAAGCAUAUCAAUAAGCGGAGGA